UCCUUCCGGAGGCCGCCGUAGGGAAUUUUCCGCCAAGGCCGAAAGUCCGACGGCGCACCACCCCCUGAGUGAAGAAGGCCUUCGGGUCGUAAAACUCAGUUGUCGGGAAGAACAAAUACUAGUUAAUAAGCGGCACCUGACGUUCCGCCAAGCAGUCGGAA
rnacentral:rRNA from 1 species